CAAACUCAAAAGAGCUGGUUUCAUCAGCCAAAUGUCAUCCGUGUCAUUGGGGGUUAGCUGUAGCUAGCUUGUAAACAGGAUCACAUUGAUCAACGAGUCAUGAAAAUGAUGCAAAUUAAAACCCUGAGUGACUGUCGAUGGGGUUCUCGUCCGUUAGCGACAUCACUCGGAGAUAUCUCAAGAUCGUUUUACUUUUCUCGCUUCACCCCUCACAUCCCCUAAUAUAACCGUACCUGAUAUCAGACGCGUGAUCGUACGAGCCACCAACAAUUCUAUUUCAAAACAAUGAUCCAUGUGUCGAUAAUCGAGUCAUGUUCAGAAUCUUGGUGAGAUUCCGCAUAAAUAAUCAACAUCCUUUCGGACAGAAAUGUCCUUACACAUUAUACCUGUCACGUGGAUGGUGUCGCGAUCAAAGUACCGUGCCGGUGUAUACGCGGUUGAUUGCUGAGUUACUUCGUACAGAAGAAUCGGUUGUACUUAGUUAUAAGAACAUACGAUUUCUUAAGAGUCAUACAGAAGCUCGAAUCACCAACGCUUGUAAUGCUUGCUUGGAACAGGGAUUCUCCUCUGAUCACAUUUUGUCAAACCCAGUGUUAAUGACCAUUGAUCCUUCAGAAUUGAAGGAACGAUAUCUUUUUUUCAAAGAGGCAGGAUGUUCUAUUAUUUUGCCAGAGAUGAUAGCAAACUUCAAACGCUAUUUGACCAUGACUCUGGGUGAAAUGAAGCAAAAUAACCUGUUGCCCAAAGAAAUUGAUGUGACAAAGAAUAUUUGGAAUAACUUCGAUGAAAAGAUCCAUGCUCCACCCACAGAACCUGUGACUGAUAACAGUACCCUUCUUGCAAUACGUACUCGAUGCCUUCGACAUUAUAUGAAAGCAAAGCUAGGAGCAACAGAAGAAGAGCUUGAUCCAAUAUUUGGUGGAAGAAGGACCAUCUCAUACCGAAGUUGUGCAUCAAUCAAGAGCACAUUGAAUUUAUUAAUAAAUACAAUCGGCUUUUCUGGAGAAAAGUUGAAAAAACAUCGACAGAUAUUCUAUAUCGACGUGUUUGGCAUUGAAAGUAUCUUAAAAGAUGUGAAAAAAGUUGGUGACAUUGAUACCAAAACCUUCCUGUUGAGAAACUUCAGGUUAUUAAAGAAAUGCAGCAAGUUACGUGACACAACAAAGGUUCUUAACGAAUUUCGUAUACCAGAUAUCGCCAUUGAAAAAUGUCCCAGCAUAUUUCACUUUCUACCUGAAACCGUACGCUCUAGAUUAAUAGAGAUUCCUACCAUACCGGAAUUGUUUGGUCAUUGGCACAAUCCGCGAAUAUUGUUUCUAGUAUGCUAUCUGCCAAGAGCCAAAAGACGUAUCGAACAGCUGAAAGAGCUUAAUGUUACAUGCGCUAGCCUUGCACUACUGAUCUCCGGCGAUGCUGCAUUUCGAAGGUACACUGAGGAGGGAAUCGAUCGACCGAAAGGAAACACGACGCCUGGUGUCAAAUUCCUUUCAUCUAUGCGCAAGAGACUUUGUUCUAUCUGAAAAAAAUCGGUUUUACAAAUGAGGAAAUUUGGAAAAAUAUUCAUAUCGUUCUUUAUCGGAAAACAAUAGUCCAAAAAGAAUUGGAGAAAAUUGAUUCGAAAUUGUCAAAUCGAUCCUGGGAUCUGACUCCCUCUCGGAAACUCGCACUGAGU
rnacentral:misc_RNA from 1 species